rnacentral:rRNA from 1 species
AGUGGGGAAUAUUGGACAAUGGGCGCAAGCCUGAUCCAGCCAUGCCGCGUGGAUGAUGAAGGCCCUAGGGUUGUAAAGUCCUUUCGGCGGGGAAGAUAAUGACGGUACCCGCAGAAGAAGCCCCGGCUAACUUCGUGCCAGCAGCCGCGGUAAUACGAAGGGGGCUAGCGUUGCUCGGAAUCACUGGGCGUAAAGCGCACGUAGGCGGCUUCUUAAGUCAGGGGUGAAAUCCUGGAGCUCAACUCCAGAACUGCCUUUGAUACUGGAAAGCUUGAGUUCGGGAGAGGUGAGUGGAACUGCGAGUGUAGAGGUGAAAUUCGUAGAUAUUCGCAAGAACACCAGUGGCGAAGGCGGCUCACUGGCCCGAUACUGACGCUGAGGUGCGAAAGCGUGGGGAGCAAA